GGGAUGGGCUUUGGGGCCGCCCCUCUCAGGAUCAAGGGCCCCAGAGAUGCAGAGAGGCCAGUCUGUUGAAGGCCGACCUCUGGGCAGCAGGCUCACGUCUCCCUUCCUGAGCACUGCUGCUACGAAGGUGGGGAGAUCCCACACAUGGCAGAGGAAGUGAACGCCAAGGACUCCCCCACGAGGCUUCCGCGGCUUGCGAGCAUCCAGCCCUCAAGCAUCCCUUCACUCUCCAAGAUGGAGAAUGAAUUUGGCCCUCUGACUUACGAGCAGCCAUCCUGCUUACUCUUUAAAUAAUCCCUUUCACCAUACGAGGAGCUGCGGAAAACACGCGCUGGAGUGCCACCUCCUUAGCGACGGAAUCCUGGCCACUCGCAGGGCUCCAGGCGAAGCGCAGACACAUGCGGACUGGAUGGUUCAAAAACUAAAGACAGACUUGCCUCGGGUGUUAGGAAUUCAACGUGGUUCUUAAGUGUAUUUAUGCUUCUUUGUAUCAUCUGCCUCUCUGAGAUACAGCCUUAUUAUAUGGUUAUACCUCCAUAUUUUAUUUCCAAAUAUUUAC